rnacentral:rRNA from 1 species
GGACUACCCGGGUUUCUAAUCCUGUUUGAUACCCACACUUUCGUGCCUCAGCGUCAGUUACAUAUUAGUAAGCUGCCUACGCAAUAGGAGUUCUGUGUCAUAUCUAAGCAUUUCACCGCUACACGACACAUUCCGCUUACCUCACUUGCACUCAAGUCUGACAGUUUCAAUGGCAAUUUUACAGUUGAGCUGCAAACUUUCACCACUGACUUAUCAAACCGCCUACGCACCCUUUAAACCCAAUAAAUCCGGAUAACGCUUGCAUCCUCCGUAUUACCGCGGCUGCUGGCAC